AUGCCGUUUUAUUACACUCAUAAAAACGAUCAGCUUAGGGCUGCUUAUGCAUAUUGGUUUCUGUGUAUUCACAGAAAGCCAGUUCAUUCGUGCAAUACUUGCAAAGUCGAUGUUCUGAAUGCCACUUGUAUUCACGCUGUUAAACAGCAUAGUUGUAAACUGUGCACCCAAUGCAAUCAAGCACAUGUAUUGGAUUCCACAUAUACACCACUAAAAGGAGACGACUUCCCUGAUGAUCAUUAUAUCGGAGAAAGGGAUAAACCACGCAUUGCCUAUUACAAGGCAAAUGUAAUAGACAAGAUCUUCCAAGCUAAACCCUCGCCCACACCAACCGUAGGACCUACACCUAUGGAAGAAACUUCCAGACCCACCUCAUCGAACUCUAACGGUUCUACCAGUAGUGCGGUUUCAGUUAUAAGAAGUGAUUGGACAGUUGUGCUUAAUAAAAGAAAAAGAGAUGCCAGUUCGUCAGAUAAUGGCUCUUCUGAGUCUUUGAAAAACUCUAAGAAAGGUUCUAAAAAUAGAAAAGGAAAGAAAGAGAAAGUUGUUUUUUCUCAGUCUGCUAAUGUAUAUACACCUAGUUCUAGUAAUAGUAAUAAUAAUUUUAAUGUUUUAGAAGUUGAAAAACCGGACAAACCGGUCGCUAAGCCCCCUCCACCUCCACUUUUUGUUUCUGGUGUGGGAAAACCACUCAUAUUCAAAAAGGUAGUAAUAGAUCCCAUAGUUAAGGAAUCUAAAAUCCAGAUUGUAAAUAAAUCUCAAGUUAAGGUAUUAGUCAAAACCCGUGAAGAGUAUAACACUCUUUUUAACCAUUUGAAAUCUCAAAAAAUUAGCUUUCAUACUUAUCUGUUUAAGGAAUGUAAAACCAUUAAACGUAUGAUAAGAGGACUCCCCUCUGAUUUCUCAGUCGACGACAUUAAGUCGUCACUUGUCUCGCAAGGCCUGUCGGUAAUCUCUAUUACUCAGAUAAGGCAUUUCAUAACUAAGGCUCCAAUGCCACUUUUCAAAUUAGAAGUUGAGGCGUCUCCUGUAGUCACCAAAAAACUUGAAAAAAUCAAUUCCAUAAAUAGUCUCAUAAUAAAAUUCGAAUUUUUGAAGAAAAGUAAGACAAUUGCCCAAUGGCAGAACUGCAUGGCCUAUGGGCACACUAAACACUAUUGUUACAGACAGCCGAGAUGCAACAUCUGCAUGCGGCGACUUCCACGUCGCAGAUGA
rnacentral:lncRNA from 1 species